rnacentral:lncRNA from 1 species
ACCACGCAGUUUGUUUAACAAUUCCAUACGUUCAGAAAAUAUAUCAAACAAAGUCCUUUAUCUUACUUGUAUCUGCACAAUAUAUAAUUUACAUGUUUGUUGAGGUACUUUGAUUGUAAGUAAAUUUAGCGUGUCUGUUUAAAGUAUCUGGCAACACGUACCGUUCAUGGCGCUAUGCAGUGAAAGCUUUGAUUCAGGAACUAUGUCAGACACCGAAAUGGUUUUUUCCUCCAUUAUGGAGGUUUUAAUCGAUGCUGCAGUUACAGAACUGGACAAGUACCUAAACUGGGCGAAUGGGACUGAGGUCGGAAGCGGACUGCCUGCUAGAGUGAAAUACGAAAUGACGAGAGAGUUCAGGUCCUUUAUGCAGAUUCUGAGCGCAGCAGCAGUUGAGAAGUUGCUGAUGCAUGUGGAUGAGGUGUGGAUGAAAAACCAGAAUGCUGCAGCACCAGCAGAAGUUCUGAUUGGAACGCAAACGGUGAACAGCAUGAACAAAGAAAUAAUAUACGAAGUGGAAUAUGAACUUCCGGAUGACAAGGACACGUCGUCUGCCCCGACAGAGCAGCCAGAGCCGCUUUUCGGUUGUCCCCAGCGUCCAGGGUGCGCUCGUAAGCUCACGCUUGGGGGGUUUUGCUGCAGACUGUGCGGCCUGCUGCUGAAGACGCAGCCAAACUCGAACGGACAUCGCAGGAAUCGCCAGGACUCGACCAGCACGAGUAACGAGAAGUUCCAGGGAUGGCGCGAGGGUUCCCGGCCGCAGAAGAGGCCGCGCAUCUGCGGCGUCGCCUGCAGGCGGUGCUCCGCGGCGGCAUCACCGCGCCGGCACCUGCAGAUCCACGCCAGGGCGCACGUUUGCACUUACUGCGGAGGCCGUUUCUCAGAGAAACAACGCGGCUACGUUUACACGGGAGGGACGCCGCGCUUUGGCCAACUGCGAUGUGUCAAGAACGAGCGAAAGCAGAAGAUUUUACGUUGCGGCCAGUGCGGACGGACAUUUCUACACUCCCUUCAUCUGAGAAGGCACCGGAAAAUAAUGCACACGACCGUCAAAUGUGCGAAAUGUCUGCAGGACUGCGGCGGACUGAGAGAGCUCAGGCUUCACGGGUGUGUUGGUCAGGAAAAAGAGACAUCAGAUCCCUGAGAAAUAUACAUCUGGUAUACGUUUACUGAGAAAAAUGGCCAAGACGUGAGACCUUGCUGUUAGUUCAGGGAUGGUGGCCCUGUUUUGCAGGAAGAGAGGCCUGCAGCGGUCAGCUCGAACGGUUCCUCGGCGUGACCUGUCCUGGGUGGGCAAAAAUAAAAUAAAGUGAAGUGACUGUCUGCUUCUUUAC